GUGAGGAAUAUUGGGCAAUGGAGGCAACUCUGACCCAGCCAUGCCGCGUGCAGGAAGACGGUCCUAUGGAUUGUAAACUGCUUUUAUACGGGAAGAAACACCCCCUCGUGAGGGGACUUGACGGUACCGUAAGAAUAAGGAUCGGCUAACUCCGUGCCAGCAGCCGCGGUAAUACGGAGGAUCCAAGCGUUAUCCGGAAUCAUUGGGUUUAAAGGGUCCGUAGGCGGCCUUAUAAGUCAGUGGUGAAAUCUCCUAGCUCAACUAGGAAACUGCCAUUGAUACUGUAGGGCUUGAAUUAUUGUGAAGUAACUAGAAUAUGUAGUGUAGCGGUGAAAUGCUUAGAUAUUACAUGGAAUACCAAUUGCGAAGGCAGGUUACUAACAAUAUAUUGACGCUGAUGGACGAAAGCGUGGGUAGCGAACAGGAUUAGAUACCCUUGUAGUCC
rnacentral:rRNA from 1 species